rnacentral:rRNA from 1 species
AUUGAACGCUGGCGGCGUGCUUAACACAUGCAAGUCGAUCGGUAACAGGUGUAGCAAUACAUGCUGACGAGAGGCGGACGGGUGAGUAAUGCUUGGGAAUCUGCCUAUUAGUGGGGGACAACCCGGGGAAACUCGGGCUAAUACCGCAUACGCUCUACGGAGGAAAGCCGGGGACCGCAAGGCCUGGCGCUAAUAGAUGAGCCCAAGUCGGAUUAGCUAGUUGGAGGGUAACGGCCUACCAAGGCGACAAUCCGUAGCUGGUCUGAGAGGACGACCAGCCACACCGGAACUGAGACACGGUCCGGACUCCUACGGGAGGCAGCAGUGGGGAAUAUUGGACAAUGGGGCAACCCUGAUCCAGCGACGCCGCGUGGGUGAAGAAGGCCUGCGGGUUGUAAAGCCCUUUCGGGUGGGGAAGAAAAGUCUCGACCUAAUACGUCGGGACCUUGACGUAACCCACUAAAGAAGCA